rnacentral:rRNA from 1 species
AUUGAACGCUGGCGGCAUGCUUUACACAUGCAAGUCGAACGGUAACAGGCCGCAAGGUGCUGACGAGUGGCGAACGGGUGAGUAAUGCAUCGGAACGUGCCCAGUCGUGGGGGAUAACGCAGCGAAAGCUGCGCUAAUACCGCAUACGAUCUAUGGAUGAAAGCGGGGGACCGUAAGGCCUCGCGCGAUUGGAGCGGCCGAUGUCAGAUUAGGUAGUUGGUGGGGUAAAGGCUCACCAAGCCAACGAUCUGUAGCUGGUCUGAGAGGACGACCAGCCACACUGGGAUUGAGACACGGCCCAGACUCCUACGGGAGGCAGCAGUGGGGAAUUUUGGACAAUGGGCGCAAGCCUGAUCCAGCAAUGCCGCGUGCAGGAAGAAGGCCUUCGGGUUGUAAACUGCUUUUGUACGGAACGAAACGGUCCUGGUUAAUACCCGGGGCUAAUGACGGUACCGUAAGAAUAAGCACCGGCUAACUACGUGCCAGCCGCCGCAGUAAUAC